rnacentral:rRNA from 1 species
AGAGUUUGAUCCUGGCUCAGGAUUAACGCUAGCGGCAGGCCUAACACAUGCAAGUCGAGGGGCAGCAUUAGUACUUGUACUAGAUGGCGACCGGCGCACGGGUGCGUAACGCGUAUGCAACCUACCUACUACAGGGGGAUAGGUCCCGGAAACGGGAAUUAACACCGCAUACCACUAUAAUGACACAUGUUAUAAUAGUAAAAAUUCAGGUGGUAGUAGAUGGGCAUGCGUAUGAUUAGUUAGUUGGGGAGGUAACGGCUCACCAAGACAUCGAUCAUUAGCGGGUCUGAGAGGAUGAUCCGCCACACUGGUACUGAGACACGGACCAGACUCCUACGGGAGGCAGCAGUGAGGAAUAUUGGUCAAUGGGGGCAACCCUGAACCAGCCAUGCCGCGUGCAGGAAGACGGCCUUCUGGGUUGUAAACUGCUUUUAUACGGGAGCAAAACGUCCCUGCGGGGAAGAUUGAGAGUACCGUAUGAAUAAGCACCGCUAA